rnacentral:RNase_MRP_RNA from 2 species
AUCGAUCGAGAUGAUGUGAAUGGGCCUUUGCUAUGCAGGGCUCAGGAAAGUCCCCGGACCCAAUCUGCAGAAAUGUAGGCCUGGCAAAACAGGUAAAUCUCUAAGUUGAAGCUGGGUUCACAUCUAGGUGGUGAGGGCUGAGACACGUGUGGGGAGCCUUUGCCAGUUACGCUAGAGAAUAUUGGUCAGUUGUUACAGUCAUUCACAUGGUCAUCAUAAUUUGACUUAACAGAACGGGGCUUACGUCUUUGGUCCA